UGGGCGUAAGCGCGCGUAGGCGGUUUUUUAAGUCUGAUGUGAAAGCCCCCGGCUCAACCGUGGAGGGUCAUUGGAAACUGGAAAACUUGAGUGCAGAAGAGGAAAGUGGAAUUCCAUGUGUAGCGGUGAAAUGCGCAGAGAUAUGGAGGAACACCAGUGGCGAAGGCGACUUUCUGGUCUGUAACUGACGCUGAUGUGCGAAAGCGUGGGGAUCAAACAGGAUUAGAUACCC
rnacentral:rRNA from 1 species